AAACUCAUCAUACACCUCUAUGCCCUAUAUCAACUUACACAAGAAACCUGUAUGCUAGUUUUAGGUUGGGGGGACCACGGAGUAUAAUUAAACCUCCAUAACAAAUGGGCUAACACCCUUAUCUACGAGAUACACCUCUAAGAAUUACUAAACUAAUGUUUAAUGACCCAAUAAUUUGAUCAAUGAACCAAGUUACCCUGGGGAUAACAGCGCAAUCUACUUCAAGAGCCCCUAUCGACAAGUAGGUUUACGACCUCGAUGUUGGAUCAGGGUAUCCUAGUGGUGCAGCCGCUACUAAU
rnacentral:rRNA from 1 species